CCUACGGGAGGCAGCAGUGAGGAAUAUUGGUCAAUGGGCGCAAGCCUGAACCAGCCAAGUAGCGUGAAGGAUGACUGCCCUACGGGUUGUAAACUUCUUUUAUGAAGGAAUAAAGUGAGACACGAGUGCCUUUUUGGAAGUACUUUAUGAAUAAGGAUCGGCUAACUCCGUGCCAGCAGCCGCGGUAAUACGGAGGAUCCGAGCGUUAUCCGGAUUUAUUGGGUUUAAAGGGAGCGUAGGUGGGUUGUUAAGUCAGUUGUGAAAGUUUGCGGCUCAACCGUAAAAUUGCAAUUGAUACGGGCAGUCUUGAGUACAGUUGAGGUAGGCGGAAUUCGUGGUGUAGCGGUGAAAUGCUUAGAUAUCACGAAGAACUCCGAUUGCGAAGGCAGCUUCCUAAACUGCCACUGACGUUGAUGCACGAAAGUGUGGGUAUCGAACAGGAUUAGAUACCCCUGUAGUC
rnacentral:rRNA from 1 species